GCAGGCGGAAUGUGGCUGCCAGCCAUUGAUUUAAUGGCUGGAGGAAAGUCCGGGCUCCAGAGGAUAAUGUAGCGGGUAAUUCCCGUCUCCUGAGUAAAAUCAGGACGGAUUAGAGCCACAGAGACGAGCGUCCCCGUGUAAGCGGGGCGGUGAAACGAGGCAAUCUCUACAUGGAGCAAGGCAGAAUAGGAGACGAGUGCUGUAUCCGGCGCGAUAUUAGUCUUAGGGUAUGCUGCUAAAGCUUGCGUGGUAACACGCUUGUUGAGAGGAAUAGCCACUAAUCGAUGCGCAGAUUCGCCUGCCUACCGGCAGGCAGGCAUCAAGACAGAACCCGGCUUAUUCUGCCUGCUUUA
rnacentral:RNase_P_RNA from 1 species